UGUAACGGGGCUAAACCAUGCACCGAAGCUGCGGCAGCGAACGUAUCACUUAAAGCGAUUCAGCGGGUUACGAUUGACGGAGCGAAGCGACGUCAAAGCGUAUACAAAGUCGAGUCGGUUUAAGGAUACGUUCGUUGGGUAGGGGAGCGUUCUGUAAGCCUGUGAAGGUGUGUCGUGAGGCAUGCUGGAGGUAUCAGAAGUGCGAAUGCUGACAUAAGUAACGAUAAAGCGGGUGAAAAGCCCGCUCGCCGGAAGACCAAGGGUUCCUGUCCAACGUUAAUCGGGGCAGGGUGAGUCGACCCCUAAGGCGAGGCCGAAAGGCGUAGUCGAUGGGAAACGGGUUAAUAUUCCCGUACUUGGUGUUACUGCGAAGGGGGGACGGAGAAGGCUAUGUUGGCCGGGCGACGGUUGUCCCGGUUUAAGCGUGUAGGUGUGUGUUCCAGGUAAAUCCGGUUCACUUUAACACUGAGGCGUGACGACGAGGCACUACGGUGCUGAAGCAACAAAUGCCCUGCUUCCAGGAAAAGCCUCUAAGCAUCAGGUAACAUCAAAUCGUACCCCAAACCGACACAGGUGGUCAGGUAGAGAAUACCAAGGCGCUUGAGAGAACUCGGGUGAAGGAACUAGGCAAAAUGGUGCCGUAACUUCGGGAGAAGGCACGCUGACACGUAGGUGAAGUGAUUUACUCAUGGAGCUGAAGUCAGUCGAAGAUACCAGCUGGCUGCAACUGUUUAUUAAAAACACAGCACUGUGCAAACACGAAAGUGGACGUAUACGGUGUGACGCCUGCCCGGUGCCGGAAGGUUAAUUGAUGGGGUCAGCGCAAGCGAAGCUCCUGAUCGAAGCCCCGGUAAACGGCGGCCGUAACUAUAACGGUCCUAAGGUAGCGAAAUUCCUUGUCGGGUAAGUUCCGACCUGCACGAAUGGCGUAAUGAUGGCCAGGCUGUCUCCACCCGAGACUCAGUGAAAUUGAACUCGCUGUGAAGAUGCAGUGUACCCGCGGCAAGACGGAAAGACCCCGUGAACCUUUACUAUAGCUUGACACUGAACAUUGAGCCUUGAUGUGUAG
rnacentral:rRNA from 1 species